rnacentral:rRNA from 1 species
UGCGGAGGGUGCAAGCGUUAUCCGGAUUCACUGGGUUUAAAGGGUGCGUAGGCGGGCAUUUAAGUCAGUGGUGAAAUACCUGAGCUUAACUUGGGAACUGCCAUUGAUACUAUUUGUCUUGAAUGUCGUGGAGGUUAGCGGAAUAUGUCAUGUAGCGGUGAAAUGCUUAGAUAUGACAUAGAACACCUAUUGCGAAGGCAGCUAACUACGCGAAUAUUGACGCUGAGGCACGAAAGCGUGGGGAUCAAACAGG